rnacentral:rRNA from 1 species
AGAGUCAGGAGAACGGUCUGGAAAGUCCGUCAGUAAAGGGUGAUAGCCCCGAAUCUGAAGAUGCUGUUAUUGUGAACUCGACGAGUAGGGCGGGACACGUGAUAUCCUGUCUGAAUAUGGGGGGACCAUCCUCCAAGGCUAAAUACUCCUGAUUGACCGAUAGUGAACCAGUACCGAGAGGGAAAGGCGAAAAGAACCCCGGCGAGGGGAGUGAAAAAGAACCUGAAACCGAG